AUAGAAAUAAUCAGAAGAUCCUGUAUAUCCUUUAUCUAGAUUCCCCAUGGAGAUAUGUUGCAAAGAUGUACCACAAAACAACUCAUUGGCUAACAGCAGAAUCUCACCAGACAAAAUGUUCAUGUGUUGAUGAAUGAAGGCUCCUCGUGUGAUACCAAGCUCAGAAGGACACUUACAUCUGCAGCUCUGGCCUAGAAGUUACCAUGACAACUUCUGAGUGAUGGGAUUUCCUUUAUCAUCUAUUACAGGGUAAGUGUACUAGUGAUGAACUCCCUAAGAUUAUCUUUUUUUGGAAAUGUAGUAAUUUCUUCUUCAUUUUUGACAGUGCUGGGUAUCAAAUCCAGGAAUUCACACAUGCUAGACAGACACUCUGCCACUGAGCUACAUCCCCAGUUCCUCUUGGUCACUCUUGAAGGUUAAUUUUGCCAUAUAUAGAAUUCCUACAUGGCAGAUGGCUUUCCCCCAGCACUUAAAAUAUACUA